rnacentral:misc_RNA from 1 species
GGUAGAAGCAUUACCAAUGGAAAUACUAAAGCCCGAGCACUUUUGAGACUUAUACAACUACUUUUAGAUGGGCAGAAAGGCAUUACGACUACUUUUGGAUGGAUAUACAGGCAUUACGACCACUUUGAUACAAGGUGGUUGUGGGAUAACAUGAAUGGACUUCCAAAGUAGGCUUUUCUUUAGUGCUCCGAUGGAAGAAUUAGGGGUAGGAUUAGGAUUUUUUUUCCAAGUUAAAUUUCCUGAUAUGGAGGGUCUUAUUUACAG